UAUAGGGAAGAACCCUUCCAAAUCUUGGCCUCCUCUGGAACUUUUCGGGAAAGAGUUUUCCCCUUCGGGGGACAAAGUGCCAGGUGGGCCAUGGUUUUUGUCAGUUUGUGUUGUGAGAUGUUGGGUUAAGUCCCGCAACGAGGGCAACCCUUUAGUUUAGUUGCCAUCAUUAAGUUGGGCACUCUAAGGAGACUGCCGGUGACAAACCGGAGGAAGGUGGGGAUGACGUCAAAUCAUCAUGCCCCUUAUGAUUUGGGCUACACACGUGCUACAAUGGACAAUACAAAGGGCAGCGAAACCGCGAGGUCAAGCAAAUCCCAUAAAGUCGGUCUCAGUUCGGAUUGUAGUCUGCAACUCGAAUACAUGAAGCCGGAAUCGCUAGUAAUCGUGGAUACAGCC
rnacentral:rRNA from 1 species